rnacentral:rRNA from 1 species
UAGGGAAUAUUGGACAAUGGGGGCAACCCUGAUCCAGCAAUGCCGCGUGUGUGAAGAAGGUCUUCGGAUUGUAAAGCACUUUCGACGGGGACGAUGAUGACGGUACCCGUAGAAGAAGCCCCGGCUAACUUCGUGCCAGCAGCCGCGGUAAUACGAAGGGGGCUAGCGUUGCUCGGAAUGACUGGGCGUAAAGGGCGUGUAGGCGGUUUACACAGUCAGAUGUGAAAUCCCCGGGCUUAACCUGGGAGCUGCAUUUGAUACGUGUAGACUAGAGUGUGAGAGAGGGUUGUGGAAUUCCCAGUGUAGAGGUGAAAUUCGUAGAUAUUGGGAAGAACACCGGUGGCGAAGGCGGCAACCUGGCUCAUUACUGACGCUGAGGCGCGAAAGCGUGGGGAGCAAACAGG